UACGUAGGUGGCGAGCGUUUGUCCGGAUUUAUUGGGUUUAAAGGGUGCGUAGGCGGUUUUGUAAGUCAGUGGUGAAAUACUCCAGCUUAACUGGAGGGGUGCCAAUGAUACUGCAGAACUUGAGUACAGAUGAGGUAGGCGGAAUUGACGGUGUAGCGGUGAAAUGCAUAGAUAUCGUCAAGAACACCGAUAGCGAAGGCAGCUUACUGGGCUGUAACUGACGCUGAGGCACGAAAGUGUGGGGAUCAAACAGG
rnacentral:rRNA from 1 species